GACAGAGGUCCCGAGCGUUAGGCGGAAUCACUGGGCUUAAAGCGUGUGUAGGCGGGCCGUUAAGUAUCUUGUGAAAUCCCCCGGCUCAACCGGGGAAUGGCUGGAUAUACUGGCGGUCUUGAGCAGUUCAGGGGCAGAUGGAACAGACGGUGGAGCGGUGAAAUGCGUAGAUAUCGUCUGGAACGCCAAAGGUGAAGACAGUCUGCUGGGAACUUGCUGACGCUGAGACACGAAAGCCAGGGGAGCGAACGGG
rnacentral:rRNA from 1 species